rnacentral:rRNA from 1 species
GGCGGUUUCUUAAGUCUGAUGUGAAAGCCCCGGCUCAACCGGGGAGGGUCAUUGGAAACUGGGAGACUUGAGUGCAGAAGAGGAGAGUGGAAUUCCAUGUGUAGCGGUGAAAUGCGUAGAUAUAUGGAGGAACACCAGUGGCGAAGGCGGCUCUCUGGUCUGUAACUGACGCUGAGGCUCGAAAGCGUGGGGAGCAAACAGGAUU